GAUGAACGCUAGCGGCAGGCUUAAUACAUGCAAGUCGAGGGACAGCACAGGUAGCAAUACUGGGUGGUAACCGGCAAACGGGUGCGGAACACGUACACAACCUUCCUUUAAGUGGGGGAUAGCCCAGAGAAAUUUGGAUUAAUACCCCGUAAUAUAGUUGAAUAGCAUCAUUUGAUUAUUAUAGCUACGGCGCUUAAUGAUGGGUGUGCGGCUGAUUAGAUAGUUGGCGGGGUAACGGCCCACCAAGUCUACGAUCAGUAGCUGAUGUGAGAGCAUGAUCAGCCACACGGGUACUGAGACACGGGCCCGACUCCUACGGGAGGCAGCAGUAAGGAAUAUUGGUCAAUGGACGCAAGUCUGAACCAGCCAUGCCGCGUGAAGGAUUAAGGUCCUCUGGAUUGUAAACUUCUUUUAUUUGGGACGAAAAAGGGCCUUUCUAGGUCAACUGACGGUACCAGAUGAAUAAGCACCGGCUAACUCCGUGCCAGCCGCCGCGGUAAAAC
rnacentral:rRNA from 1 species